GCGGGGUUAGUUCAGCGGUAGAACGCUAUCCUUCCAAGUUAGAUGUCGUCGGUUCGAUUCCGAUACCCCGCU
rfam:Synechococcus phage S-CAM3 isolate 1010CC42, complete genome.